rnacentral:tRNA from 1 species
GUUAAGAUGGCAGAGCCUGGCAAUCGCAUAAAACUUAAAACAAUAAUCAGAGGUUCAAUUCCUCUUCUUAACA